UUUCACUUUAGUACCCUAUGGUUUAAAGUGUAUCAAGUUAGGCCCUAUGGUUUCGCACUUUCUCACUUUAGUACUCUGUGGUUUAAAGUGAAUCAAGUUGGUACCCUAUGGUUUCAUUUUUUUCUUUUUAUUAUCCAUUUCACUAAUUUUUUUCGUUAAAUAACAAAAUUAAAAUUAAAGGAUACUAAAGUGAAUAUUCGAUAAACCUAGAUAGGGUAUCUGAAGUAUUUUGUAUAUAAUUUAACGAAAAUAUUAACGGAAGAAAAAAAAAUCAAUGACAAAAUUAAAACUAGAGGGUAUUAAAGUAAUAUUCGAUAAACCCAGGCAAGGUAUUUGAAAUUUUUUGUAUAUAAUUUAACGAAAUAUUAAUAGAGAAGCCGACGAAAAGAGAAAAUGAAACCACGGGGUACUAAAUUGAUGCAGUUUAAACCACAGGGUACUAAAGUGAGAAAGUGCGAAACCACGAGGCACUAAAUUGAUACACUUUAAACCACAGGGUACUAAAGUAAAAAGUGUGAACCACAUGGGUGAUAUUUGAAGUUUUUUUUAUUUGAAUUAUUAUAUUUAG
rnacentral:lncRNA from 1 species